rnacentral:rRNA from 1 species
ACAGCAGUAGCCGCGGUAAUACGGAGGAUCCAAGCGUUAUCCGGAAUCAUUGGGUUUAAAGGGUCCGUAGGCGGUCUUGUAAGUCAGUGGUGAAAGCCCAUCGCUCAACGGUGGAACGGCCAUUGAUACUGCAGGACUUGAAUUAUUGGGAAGUAACUAGAAUAUGUAUUGUAGCGGUGAAAUGCUUAGAGAUUACAUGGAAUACCAAUUGCGAAGGCAGGUUACUACCAAUUGAUUGACGCUGAUGGACGAAAGCGUGGGUAGCGAACAGGAUUAGAUACCCCGGUAGUCCCUGUCUCUUAUAC